rnacentral:rRNA from 1 species
UACGAAGGGGGCUAGCGUUGCUCGGAAUUACUGGGCGUAAAGGGCGCGUAGGCGGACAGUUUAGUCAGAGGUGAAAGCCCAGGGCUCAACCUUGGAAUUGCCUUUGAUACUGGCUGUCUUGAGUUCGGGAGAGGUGAGUGGAAUGCCGAGUGUAGAGGUGAAAUUCGUAGAUAUUCGGCGGAACACCAGUGGCGAAGGCGACUCACUGGCCCGAUACUGACGCUGAGGCGCGAAAGCUAGGGGAGCGAACGGG